rnacentral:rRNA from 1 species
AUUGAACGCUGGCGGCAGGCCUAACACAUGCAAGUCGAGCGGAGCGGCGGACGGGUGAGUAAUGCCUAGGAAUCUGCCUGGUAGUGGGGGAUAACGUCCGGAAACGGGCGCUAAUACCGCAUACUAUCAGAUGAGCCUAGGUCGGAUUAGCUAGUGGGUGGGGUAAGGGCCUACCAAGGCGACGAUCCGUAACGGGUCUGAGAGGAUGAUCAGUAACCGUGGAACUGAGACAGGGUCCAGCCCCCUAGGGGGGGCAGCAGUGGGAAAUAUGGGAAAAGGGGCGAAAGCCUGAUCCAGCCAUGCCGCGUGUGUGAAGAGGGUCUUCGGUUUGUAAAGCACUUUAAGGUGGGAGACGUUACCAACAGAAUAAGCACCGGCUAACUUCGUGCCAGCAGCCGCGUAAUAC